GGGUCAGAGAGAGAGGGAGACACAGAAUCUACAACAGGCUCCGGGCUCUGAGCGGUCAGCACAGAGCCCGACGCGGGGCUCGAACUCACGGACCGUGAGAUCAUGACCUGAGCCGAAGUCGGGCGCUUAACCGACUGAGCCACCCAGGCACCCCAUAAAUACUGUUUUUAACUGAACCAAGAGUAAACCAUGAUUAUGCUUUUUUUCGUGUACAACUUUUUAUUUUCCAGGAAGUUAAUAACUGCCUCUUUUUUUUCUCCUCCUAGUUUUAUUAUUUUUAUUUUUUAUUUUAUUUUUUAUUUUUUAUUACAUUUAUUCAUUUUUGAGAGACAAAAAGAGACAGAGCACAAGUGGGGGAGGGGCAGAGAGAGAGGGAGACACAGAAUCCCAAGCAGGCUCCAGGCUCAGGGCUGUCAGCACAGAGCCCAAUGUGGGGCUUGAACUCAAAAACCGCGAGAUCAUGACCUGAGCUGAAGCUGGACACUUAACCAACUGAGCCACCCAGGUGCCCCUCCUCUUAGUUUUAAAUGUUCCUAUCACUAAUUGAUUUUUUACUCAGUUCUCCAACAAAAGAGGAAAAUGGUCAAGCAUAAAAAAAUUUUUCUUACUUUUUUUUUCCUUUCCGUUUGUCUCCUUCUUUCUUAUUUUCUUUUUUUUUUCUCUCUCUGCCUUCCUCCCACCCCCUCCCUUUUCUCCUAUAGUGAUUCAUCUUAAGCUUCAGUCUGGAUUGAUUGCUCCUGGAGUUUCCUGUGCAGCAGUCAUUCUAAAUUUUAAGUUCACUAUGAUUCUGGGAAUUUGUUUUUUUCUCUCCUUUGUUGGAUUCUUUAUUUCCAAGGUCUAACAUCUUCCUCUUUUUUUUUUUUUUUUUUUUUUUUGGUUUAUUUUUUCCAACAGUUUCUGGAAGAGGAGAGACCAUUGGGAGAUAAAUUUGCAUGUCUGAAAGUGUAUUUAUUCUAUUUCACAUUUGAUUAAUAAUUGGACUGUUGUGGACUUCUGGUUGAGGAGGAAGCGGAGAUAAAACAGAGUAGACAAAACAUAUGCCUUAUUGGAAUUCCAGAGAAAUGAAGAAUUAAGAAAUGACUGCAUUUUAGAGGUUGCUCUUUCCACAUUGUAUCAACUUUACUGGUGGCAUUAUACUCCUGUCAGCUCAGAACCACACAAGGCUUUGGUUUUCUUGCUCGUAACUGUGUUGGUGUUUUGUGCUUAGAUGCCACAAGGUGUAACUCUUUUUCAGGAGUUUCUGUUUACUCCGCCAGUGAAGUCUUCCUCCGUACCAUAGCUGGCCUCUUAUAGCCAGUGGGCUCAGCAAACCUUUUUAUGCCUGGGCCAGAGAAUGAACUUCUCUUUCCAACUGUCGGAAUAUUUCAAGUGCAGGAUAGUCAGACGAAAUCCUGAAUUUGUUUUACCUCUCGCGAGAAGUAGCUGUUUCGGCUGCCAUUAACAUUCUUGAAACACUUUGGAUUGUAGAUCAACUUUGUUUAUUUGCAUCAAAUAAAUCACUAGUGUUUUCAUUAAAACAUGUCUUCUAAGUGUUUUCAGUACACUUCUUAAGUAACCGAUCUGCGGAUGGUAAUUAUGUUCUAAAAAUAAUCCAGAUCUUGUGAACUAUGUCAAGUAGGUGAACUGUUAUUUUUAAUAUAUCAAAGUAUGAACCAACAAAAUCAAUGAUGUGUUAUUUUUGCCCCAUUUAAUUGAUUAGACAGUGUCUUAAACUAUCUUACCAUAGAUAUAUUUAGCGAAAUUUAUUACUUGCAGACUGAUAUAAUCAUGAAUUAUUAAAAGCAUCAGCAUAUGGAACCCACUCUUCCCUCAUUCCAAAUUCUUUUAAUAUGGCUUAUGUUGAGCCAUUUAACUGGCUUCUAUCCAUCCCACCGAUGGAAGCUGCAGCCAGAUGAGGAUUCUUAUAAAUGAUUGGCUUCCUUUCCAAGCAAAAGGAGGAUGAAAUGUCAGCUUUUUCCUCCACUACCUGAAAAGCAAUCAGUGGCAACCUUUCCUGGCCUUCUUGACAGUAGUUUGGCUCUAUAGAAGAGGGUGGGCAUUUAGCCAAAUGUGAAUUUCAGUGCUAUAUCAGGAAAAAAGUAGCUAAAACUCAGAUAAUAGCUGGAAUUUGCAGGGAGGCAUUCAGAUGGGUCUAACCUGUGAGUCUUCAGUAAGCUAACCAUAGCUCAGAAAUUCCUGAAGUGCGCAUUUUAAUCCCUUCUUUCCUAGCGAUGAGCUGAGUGACCAGAGGUUACCUACCAAAUCUGUCUUCCCGGCUGUGUGCGCUCCUCUGUAGGACUGGGUUUAGGGGUACCAACAGCUUCAGAAUAGUGUAGCAUGGUGACUGAUUACCGACGACAAAUCAAGACCACUGAAAAGGACUCCAAGGAAUCAAACCUUGGAGUUCAAGACCAUUUAUUAACUCGAACUUAUGCUUUGAAAUUUGUUAUCCUUAUCUGUAAAAUGGGGAUAUUAUUUAUUUCACAGGAUUAUUAUGAAAUCUUAAAUAGUAUAUGUGGAAGCAUUUUGUAAGUGGUGUGGGACUAUAAAAAGUAAAGUGUUGUUAACAUAAGGCUGCUAGUAUAAUGCUUUAUCACAUGGAACAAAUUUUAAAAUUGUGAAGGACACUGGUGGGGAAACACUGAAAUUCACAGGACGGUGUUUUUUUGUUUUUUCUUUUUGUUUUUUGUACCCAUAUAGGCUCUAUUAUGUUUUUUCUGUUGUUUAAUCCUUACAACUCCAAGAGUUAACAUUCUGUUAGCUCUGUUCUUACAGACGAAGAAAGUGAGACUUACUUAAGAUCUACCUCUCCAUCAUUCUGUCUUACAAAAGAGGAAAUGGAGACUAAAGAAGAUUCUCAGUCCAUCAUUCCAUCUAUUAUAAUAUACUACUAUAUUUUCAUAACUGUUUUUAUCUUGCACACAAACUUGGCCCCCAAAUUAAAUAGGAAACACAAUAGCAAAUAAUUAGAUUGACAGUGUAAAUAGAGACAGACUUCCGUCACUGGCGUUAUGAUGGAUUAGAUAUGCUCUAUGACCCUCCCAACUGAACAAGUAAAAUACUGAAUGAAAUAUCAUAAAGCAGUUUUAGCGUAUUGCUAAGCUGGCAUGAAAGUAAGGUAUUUGUUGACUCACUAAACAAAAUGAGGCUGGGUAUCCUGGUAGGUGAUUGGGAACCAGAGCCAGCUUUGCGUGGACGUUUUUGUAAUUUGAUGACCUGGGGCUUCUGCUAUGAAGAAUGGGGCAGGGAAGCAGGAUGGACAGCCUGUGGCCUAUGUAAGUUGGGGAAUCUAGAAAGAACUUCCUGGAGAAUCCAGGAAAUCAAAAGACUAUAUUUUCAGUUAAAGGGGAAAAGAAGUAGGUCUGUAAUGAUCCUGCUGUUGAGAACUACAGUUUUAAGCCACCUUCACAUGGUUCGUGGUCCGAAUUCAUACAAUAGGUGUCAUCCAAAUACACUUUCAGAGAAUUUCGUUGGAAGUGGCCCUGAAUUGGUAGGGACCAGCAGAAGUAGACAAACCCACUCUUGAGUAAUUCAUCUUCAAUCUGGGUCUCAAUUCUUACAAAUAAAGUAUCUCAGGAAAAUCACAGUUACAACCCACAAGACCAUAAAGAAAUAAGGCAAUAUCAUGACUGAGAACCAGCAGAAAUUCACCUUCAAGGACUCUGAUUAUGGGAUUAGAUUAUUAGAUUCAAAGAAAUUGUUGAGGGGCGCCUGAGUGGCUGAGUUGGUUAAGCGUCCGACUUCAGGUGGUGAUCUCUUGGUUUAUGAAUUUGAGCCCCUCAUCAGGCUCUACGCUGACAGCUCGGAGCCUGGAGCCUGCUUUGGAUUCUGUCUCUCUGUCUCUCUGUCUCUCUCUCUGCCCCUCCCCCACUCAUGCUCUUUCUCUCAAAAAUAAAUAUUAAAAAAAUUAAAAAAAAAAAAAAAAAAGAAAUUGUUGAGAUACAACCCAAAGAGACCGAAAAGUGAAGUGAUGUGGAGAGUGGAGGAUGUCUAAUCAAGAGUUCUAGAAGGAGAAGAGAGGAAGGGUGGAAAGAGGCCCUCUGAAAGGAUAAUGGCUGAGAACUUUCCGUUAUUGUUGAAUUCCAGACUUCAGAUUCAGGAAGACCUAUAUAUAAAUCACGAAGCAGGUGAAACCACAGUACACCAAAGAAAAAGAGAAGACCUUAAGCUCGUCU